rnacentral:rRNA from 1 species
CCUACGGGAGGCAGCAGUGAGGAAUAUUGGUCAAUGGGCGAGAGCCUGAACCAGCCAAGUCGCGUGAAGGAUGACGGCCCUACGGGUUGUAAACUUCUUUUGUCAGGGAGCAAUUGGGUCCACGCGUGGGCUUAGCGAGAGUACCUGAAGAAAAAGCAUCGGCUAACUCCGUGCCAGCAGCCGCGGUAAUACGGGGGAUGCGAGCGUUAUCCGGAUUUAUUGGGUUUAAAGGGUGCGUAGGCGGAAUAUCAAGUCAGCGGUAAAACUUCGGGGCUCAACCCCGUCGUGCCGUUGAAACUGAUGUUCUUGAGUGGGCGAGAAGUAUGCGGAAUGCGUGGUGUAGCGGUGAAAUGCAUAGAUAUCACGCAGAACUCCGAUUGCGAAGGCAGCAUACCGGCGCCCAACUGACGCUGAAGCACGAAAGCGUGGGUAUCGAACAGGAUUAGAUUCCCUUGUAGUC